rnacentral:rRNA from 1 species
GCACGGGGAGCUUGCUCCCUGGUGGCGAGCGGCGGACGGGUGAGUAAUGCAUAGGAAUCUGCCCGGUAGUGGGGGAUAACCUGGGGAAACCCAGGCUAAUACCGCAUACGUCCUACGGGAGAAAGCAGGGGCUCUUCGGACCUUGCGCUAUCGGAUGAGCCUAUGUCGGAUUAGCUGGUUGGUGAGGUAAUGGCUCACCAAGGCGACGAUCCGUAGCUGGUCUGAGAGGAUGAUCAGCCACACUGGGACUGAGACACGGCCCAGACUCCUACGGGAGGCAGCAGUGGGGAAUAUUGGACAAUGGGCGCAAGCCUGAUCCAGCCAUGCCGCGUGUGUGAAGAAGGCCCUCGGGUUGUAAAGCACUUUCAGCGAGGAAGAAGGCUUGGCGGCUAAUACCCGUCAAGAAGGACAUCACUCGCAGAAGAAGCACCGGCUAACUCCGUGCCAGCAGCCGCGGUAAUACGGAGGGUGCGAGCGUUAAUCGGAAUUACUGGGCGUAAA